CCUACGGGAGGCAGCAGUAGGGAAUAUUGCUCAAUGGGGGAAACCCUGAAGCAGCAAAGCCGCGUGGAGGAUGAAGGUUUUCGGAUUGUAAAAUCCUUUUGUUAGAGAAGAUAAUGACGGUAUCUAACGAAUAAGCACCGGCUAACUCCGUGCCAGCAGCCGCGGUAAUACGGAGGGUGCAAGCGUUACUCGGAAUCACUGGGCUUAAAGAGCGCGUAGGCGGGAUAGCAAGUCAGAUGUGAAAUCCUAUGGCUUAACCAUAGAACUGCAUUUGAAACUGUUAUUCUAGAGUAUGGGAGAGGUAGGUGGAAUUCUUGGUGUAGGGGUAAAAUCCUUAGAGAUCACGAGGAAUACGCAUUGCGAAGGCGACCUGCUAGAACAUCACUGACGCUGAUGCGCGAAAGCGUGGGUAUCAAACAGGAUUAGAUACCCGAGUAGUC
rnacentral:rRNA from 1 species